UGUAAGCGUAUACCGAAGUUGUUGCAGUUAAAACGCUCGUAGUCGGAAUUUGGCAGUUCCGGAUGUGUGCACGUCGUGUGCGCACUUCGCGGGGAUUGCUUUUGUGGUCUUGCGUAGGAUGAGGCACUUUUAUUAGUGAACGUCCUCACGCAACCACUUUUUACUGUGAGAAAAUCAGAGUGCUCAAAGCAGGCAUUUGCCGUGAAUGUAUUAGCAUGGAAUAAUAGAAUAGGACUUGGUUCUAUUUUGUUGGUUUGUUGGGACUGAGUAAUGAUUAAGAGGGACAGUUGGGGGCAUUUGUAUUUCGGUGCUAGAGGUGAAAUUCUUAGAUUACCGAAAGACAAACUGCUGCGAAAGCGGCUGCCAAGGAUGUUUUCAUUGA
rnacentral:rRNA from 1 species